rnacentral:rRNA from 1 species
GACGAACGCUGGCGGCGUGCUUAACACAUGCAAGUCGAACGGAAAGGCCCUGCUUUUGUGGGGUGCUCGAGUGGCGAACGGGUGAGUAACACGUGAGUAACCUGCCCUUGACUUUGGGAUAACUUCAGGAAACUGGGGCUAAUACCGGAUAGGAGCUCCUGCUGCAUGGUGGGGGUUGGAAAGUUUCGGCGGUUGGGGAUGGACUCGCGGCUUAUCAGCUUGUUGGUGGGGUAGUGGCUUACCAAGGCUUUGACGGGUAGCCGGCCUGAGAGGGUGACCGGCAACAGUGGGACUGAGAUACGGCCCGGACUCCUACGGGAGGCAGCAGUGGGGAAGAUUGCACAAUGGGCGGAAGCCUGAUGCAGCAACGCCGCGUGCGGGAUGACGGCCUUCGGGUUGGAAACCGCUUUCGCCUGUGACGAAGCGUGAGUGACGGUAAUGGGUAAAGAAGCACCGGCUAACUACGUG